rnacentral:ncRNA from 1 species
GUUAGAAAAGUUACCACAACGUUUGUAGUUAUGUUACUUUUUUAUCCUUUGAUGUUGGCUCCUCCUAUCAUUUUAAAGCAAAAUUCAUUAUGUUUUGAAUUAUUCACGCACCAAUAGUGAACGUGAGCGGUCUAGUCCGUCAUAAGACAAGUU